rnacentral:lncRNA from 1 species
AUAGAAAUCUAGUAAGUACUUGGAAACGUUGAAAACUUCACGUACCAUGACAGUGUAUUCAUUGAACAUAACAUAUAAACAAAACACUAAUAUAUGUUGCCCAACCUUCCAGUUUGAACAGCAAGGUCUCCUCUGAUUGUGCCGGGCUCCGCGUUAAGUGGAUUAGUUGCUCCUAUUAGCUUACGGGCAGAUGCUACAACACCAACACCCUCCCCAGGCCUUGCCAGAGGAUAGAAUAGAAAUCCCAANNNNNNNNNNNNNNNNNNNNNNNNNACAAAUAUGUACACAAAAAACAUUUCUAGGGGCUAAUUAGGAGGUCGGUAUCUGGCAAAUCCACAAUAUAUUCUAUAUUUUACGUCAUCUCGAAAACAUCAAAACUGAAGCCACUCCUUUUAGACAUGUAAAGACUCUAUCAUAGAAACCAAUUAAGUGAUUCUACAAGCCAUUCACAUUUAUUUAGCUAGAACUUUACCUAUUUCACGCUUGCCAUUGUCAGGGCUAUCACUUCCAUGCACCACAUUUCUGAAAACAGAUUGUCAUAGAAAUCUAGUAAGUACUUGGAAACGUUGAAAACUUCACGUACCAUGACAGUGUAUUCAUUGAACAUAACAUAUAAACAAAACACUAAUAUAUGUUGCCCAACCUUCCAGUUUGAACAGCAAGGUCUCCUCUGAUUGUGCCGGGCUCCGCGUUAAGUGGAUUAGUUGCUCCUAUUAGCUUACGGGCAGAUGCUACAACACCAACACCCUCCCAGGCCUUGCCAGAGAUAGAAUAGAAUCCAAGAUAUUAGGAAGCUCAGAAGAUUGCCAAACAUAACAUAUAGUGUGAAUAUAACUCAUUGGUUUCAAUUAGUGAAUGAUGAAAAUGGAUUAAAUAGCAAGAACUCUACCAU